rnacentral:piRNA from 1 species
UCAUAUCCCAAUUCGUUGUAA